rnacentral:rRNA from 1 species
CCUACGGGAGGCAGCAGUGGGGAAUAUUGGGCAAUGGGCGCAAGCCUGACCCAGCAACGCCGCGUGAAGGAAGAAGGUCUUCGGAUUGUAAACUUCUGUCUUCUGGGACGAUAAUGACGGUACCUUAGGAGGAAGCCACGACUAACUACGUGCCAGCAGUCGCGGUAAUACGUAGGUGGCAAGCGUUAUCCGGAUUUAUUGGGUGUAAAGGGUGCGUAGGCGGGAUGUAAAGUCUGAUGUGAAAUGCCGCAGCUUAACUGCGGAGCUGCAUUUGAAACUUAUGUUCUUGAGUGAAGGAGGGGCAA